CGUUAGAAGUACAUGUACUGAAGAGAAGAGUUUAUGGAAUUGUCUUACACUUGCCACAAGCUACAUCCUUGUCACAUCAGUACAAUACAUAAAUAUCACGAAGAAGAGCAGGGUCCGACUACGGACGAAAAAAACGAGAAAAGAACGACGUCCAUCCUUGCUAUCCCAGGCUGCCAGCCUGGAACCCAUCCUAGAUCGAUGAAGAAGAAGAAAACGAAGCAACUCCAAAUGAACAAUCAACGCGCUCCCGACAAGUAAUAUUUACCUGUACCUGCAACUGGUGUUGUAGUAAUAUGUGAGCCACAGGGGACUCAACAAUCUCAUUUCCAAAGGUAUCAAGACUAGCAAAGCUUAAUGGGUGAGGUAUGGUUAAGUGGUGAGGCUGCAUCAAGCGACUAAGCAUUUAUAUGAGGUGGCUAACUUACGAGUACAAGAAUAAGAGCGGAACAUCUAUGCAUAACGGACGUGAACUACUAAUGAUCAAAUGAAUGAUCCUGAACACCUACUUACGUCAAACAUAACCCCACCGUGACCUCGAUCGGAGAAGGAGCUCACGAAAGAGACAGUCACGGUUACACACUCAGUUGGCAUGUUUUUAAUUAAGUUUACUUCAAGUUAUCUAGAACCGGACGUUAAACAAAGUUUCCAUGUUUCCACAUAACCGUGGGCACGGCUUUCCGAAAGAUUUAACCCUGUAGGGGUGCUCCAACCAGUCCAUCAUAAAUUAGCACAAGCUGCACAGAAAGCCUCGGUCACGAAACUCGUGACUUCGUCGGAUUCCUUAGUAGAAAAACCUCAACUCUGAGAUUGCACAAAGCAUCACCGGAAUCUCGAUGCACAAGACAUUUGUCAAAGGUAAAACUAAUCCAGCAAGGUCGCCCGACGUGUCGACGAUCCCGAUAGGAGUCGCGUAUCUCGUUCUCAAGACACGACGGAUUGUCCAAACUUCCGGUAGGCCAAUCACAGAGUUGCCCCUGGUAGCCACCGGCGGUUGAUAGGUUGGACCAACCCCCAUGCGUAGCACUGUCCCGGGGGUUGAUUAAAUUUCCUCAUGUUAAUUACUCCCUAUGUGGUUCAUUAGUUAUUAGGAAAAUGUAGUACCAAAGAUGGGCCUUGCCAGAGCAGUUUUAAUCUAAAAGGAAUUAUCAUGGGGGUCCCCAUAACAACCCCGAUCGUGUUAGGAGCGCUCAGUUAUGGAACAGAACACCGGUAGCCGAAACUAAGGGGGGAAAGGUGGAACAAAACACCAGGCUAGAAAGCCAAGCCUUCCUCAUUUUAUCAAGUAUAUAGGUGCAUUAAACUAAUUAGCAAUUAAUAGGGUGAUAUGACAAGGAACCCAUGUUAUCACAUGGAAGCAUCUGCACCUGCAACUAGCAAUGCUAACACAUGGUUAAGCAAGCGGUAACAUAGACAAUCAGUGGUUUGCUAGGUUGUGAAUAGGCUGAAGGUUUCAUGGCAAUGUGGAGAGGCUGACAUUUAAUAGGUGGUAGACAACGAGACAUAGCGAUAGAAUUGAUACAAUUAGAAUGGCAUUGAUAGUAAUUAUAUCUAGGGAAAUGGUCAUCUUGCGUGAGAUCCUGCUUGGAAGAAGAAUGACUCCAUGAAGCAGACGAACCGACGUAGUCGAACGGAUUCUCACUCUCCGAAGCGGUCGGAACUCUACCGAGACGAAGCAAACUGGAAACAAGAAUCAACACACGAUGCACAACACAAAUGAUGCAUGAGCGGUUUCAUUUACGCACGGUACGACAUGACAAUUCACACAAUCAAACACUACAUAUUAAGUGAAGUUCAAUAUGCAACGAGUUGCAUAUCGAUGAAACUCCAUCUUUAAUUAUUUAGUUCUAUCCCGAUUAGUUACACGGAAAUAUUAAAUGUUAAUUAGACAUGGCAAGAGGUGAAGCGUAAUUAAGCUUCCUAUCUAGGCAUUUUAAAUGAGGUUGGAAACGACAUAUAGCAUCUCCGAUAUGACCCCACACGUUAUAUUAGAAUUAUGUCUAGAUCUGAACUAACAUGUUUUAAUAUUUGUUAAACAGAAAAACAAAGUGGUUCACGUGAUUCCACCCGUCGUUCUAGCCCAUUUGCAUAUAUGGCUCAUGUCCAACGGAGUUACGGUGAAUUAACCAUGACCUAAACCGUUUUUAACAUGAUGACACGCAAACCGAUGCAAACAGCUCAGUAAACAGUUUUAAAUAUGCAUGAGAGUUGGAAAAUAUUUAUCUACGCAAAAUUCUAGCAAAGUUACAUAAAUAACUUGCUGCGAUCCGACUCAAGGAUUAAAAUCUACGGGCGUUUUAAAAUAGGCACCUAAUCUCCAAUUAGACAAAUUCGCACGUGGGGAAAAAACUCACUCGGCCGAAUUGCACCAUAGUGCAGCAGCCCAGGAUGAUUUGGCCAAGGUGGCUGUGUGUAGGAUAAAACAAAUAAAACAUGGAAAAUGAGGAGGCUCGGAAUAGAACCCAAGACCUACUAGGUGUGACCUAACGUGGGUCAACAAUGGGCUAGUCGUGUCAUUGUGCUAGUGAUGUGCAUUCGGUUAUUAUACAUAACAACCAGGGCUGAUAAAAGACAAUGCAAAAUCGCUGAGAAAAACUAUGUUGGAGCCGGUGGGAUUUGAUCCCUGGUCUACUGCGUGGAGGUUCAACGUCGUGACCAGCUGGGCUACGAUGGAUUCGUGCUAAAAGAAGGAUUCCUUCACUAGAUGAGCAUACACAAACGCUGAAUCUGAACUUAACAAAUCUGAAUCACCAACUCGGCUGUAACUGAACCUGAUUGGAACUAUUCGGCCGUGGCUGAAGACGCAGAUGCAGGUGGGCUCGUCUUUGGCGGGAUGGGGCUGCGUUGGAGAAGGUCGAGACGGGGAGCAGGCAACGGGAUCCGGCGGCGGUGCUUGGCCUCGUCCGAUUCCUGGCCGGGCAUGCAGCACACAGCGGCAGAGCUUGCUCCUCUUGCAGCCAUGGCAGGUUCCUGAGACACAAGGAGAGACAGAGAGAUGGUGAGAGGGAGAGAGGAAGGAGAAGCAUGAGAAAGGAUAGGGAAGGGACGCACGAGGGAACCGGUCUGGUGGCUGCUCUCAUGGCUGCCGGCGGUGGCGCCAGUCGCCGGACAACGAGGCAACCCAGAGGAGCACGGGUCUCCUACUAUAGAUCGGGAGCAGCGAGCGGCUCACGGGGCGACAUCGAGAGGCUCUACACAAGGGAGGAACGAAGCAAGGCGACGGAGACUUGUCAGAUACCGCCGACAAGGAGGUCCCUCGCGACACUCACGGCGGCGACCAUCCAUGGAGCUAGGCAAAGCUCCUGAUGGUCCUCCAGCAAGAGAGAAAGACUGCAAGGUGAGGGAGAGAUAGGAGGAAGGGAAAAUGGGAGGAAUCAGAGGAGAGGGACGCGACGGUCCUAUUGGAGGUGAUGCGGGGGCUUCGAGCUCGCCAUGGAGGUCAAUGACGGGGCAUGUGGCUGCGCGGGGCUGCCCUGGAUAGAACAUGAGGAAGGAGGAGGCCGCACUUGGUUGGCAAGAUGAGAAAACGAGGUGGGUGGCGGCGGCUACGGGAGAAGAUGGAGGAUU
rnacentral:lncRNA from 1 species